CUGAAACCUCUGCUGCUUGUAGCAGUGACCUUUACAAUAGCAGGUUUGUCUUUUAAAAUAUCUAGAACUUGUGCUUAAUGUUCUUUACUGAUUUAAACCAGGCAAGGGAGCAGUAAAUCAGAUUAUCAUCAUCCUCAGGAAGGAGAGCAAUCUGGAAUGUUAAUUUUCCAGCUGAGGUUACUGGAAAUUUCUUUUCUGUUUAUUUAUUAAAGGGAGAGAAUUAAAAAAGGAGGAAAGCCAAAGGUCCCUGAACAAGAUCUUCUAUUCUCGGGAUAUGGGAGGCAUCAGCACAGUAGAAAACGAAGCUGACCAUCUCUCAGGAGGCAGACUGAAAUAUUGUCUAAUCUGGAGAAGCUACACCGCUCAAUAUGGAGGUUAGGAGAAGAGCCUAGAACACUCUGCUAGCUGCAAUGGAACCCCUUAAAGACACUCUGGUUCAAUAUCCGGGGUCCUGAGGCUGCUGUGGUGUGGAAGGCAGUGAAGUGGAAUAUCAUCAGGCUUAGGUUGGGAAUCUCUUCAGGCUUGCUUUCUGCAAAUCGCUGGGUACAAAACAUUAUUGCAGAUGUGGAAAAAAUGUGCAGAGAACCUGUGCUUCUGAUAAUGCCUGACAUGAAGAAAUGCAUCUGAAGAGCUGAUGAAAGUCCUCUUGACCUUCGCGUCCUAUCUUCUGAGAAUGAGCAUCUUCAGAGAAACCACC
rnacentral:lncRNA from 1 species